UAUGUGAUCGUCUCUCGCAUAUCAAUAAGCGGAGGAAAAGAAACUAACAAGGAUUCCCCUAGUAACGGCGAGUGAAGCGGGAAGAGCUCAAAUUUGAAAUCUUAAAGGGUUUCCCUUUACGAAUUGUAGUUUAAGAAGGUGUUUUCUGUUGAGGUUUUGGUAAAAGUUCUUUGGAAUAGGACAUCAUAGAGGGUGAGAAUCCCGUAUUUGACCUUUACUUUCAACUUUGUGAUACACUUUCAAAGAGUCGGAUUGUUUGGGAAUGCAGUCCAAAAUGGGUGGUAAAUUUCAUCUAAAGCUAAAUAUUGGCGAGAGACCGAUAGCGAACAAGUACCGUGAGGGAAAGAUGAAAAGAACUUUGAAAAGAGAGUUAAACAGUACGUGAAAUUGUCAAAAGGGAAGCGUUUGACACCAGUGUUGUUUUUCUGAAAAUCAAUUAAAGAACUGUUUAUGCUAAGUUGUUUAGACUUUAUCAGCUAACUGUUUAGUUUUGAGCUUUUCUUUAAUGCACUUUUCAGUUAACAAGUCAACAUCAAUUUCUUUUGCUGUAAAAAAGCUUGAGGAAGGUGGCUUGAGAUUCGUCUUAAGUGUUUAUAGCCUCUUGCCUAUGCAGUCGGAGAGAUUGAGGUCUGCAGCGUAGAUCCUUCGGGGCUAAAUGCAUUUGUGCUAAGUUAUAGCAUUUUAUAGACAACUUGUUGACUAUGAUUUGUCUUGUAGCUUACUCGCUUAUGUUAUUUUACCUACGCUUAGGAUGUUGAGUAGCGACAUACGCAC
rnacentral:rRNA from 1 species